ACGAGCAGCAUGAGCUCUCUUGGCUCCCAAGGCUGGUGAGAGCAGCUGCACAGUAAGUGAACACCGAGCCACAUCCCCCUGCCUGGAGCCCCACAAAAGAGCAAACCAUCCCCUGAAACCCAGACCCUGUUGAGUUGAGAAAAGUGCCAGGAAAGGAAGGACCGGACUAGAAAACGGGGAGAAGCCGAAACGCAGCCAAGACUACAUUUAAAGAAGACCAAAGUCCAAGUAAAGCAAAGAGCACGACCCCCGAGACCGAAAGCUUACCUUCCCGACACAAGUCCGAGAAACCAGGUCGCGGGGCCCCACCCAGCGUCUGUCACGUGACUGCCACGUGAAGGGCGUUUCCGGAAGAGCCAGAGCAACAGCGGCGGCUCCUCACAGCUGCGCGCCUUCGGUGCCCGCCCUUCGGCCGCCUGUGACCGCGCUCUGGUGCGCCCGCACGUGGCGUUGGGUCCGAGCAAUGGCAGCAGGCGCCAGGCGACCAUGACUGAGCCCCUGCAGCUGGAGCCAGACAGGAGGAAAGUGAAUGUAAACAACUGAAGAAUUCGCAAGAGAUGAGAGGGAGGACGGAGGGUGAGCACUGCAAAGAUAUUAUUUCACUGUCUUUUGACCUCCAUGGUAUCUGUUAAGAGAUGCUCGCUUUCAGGCCACGGUGUUUGGCAGAAAUCAGUGAUUUUUCAGAACAUUGGAAAGUGCCCACAACUGGUACUAGUGUAUUUUUUGUCACUUCAAAACACCUAUGAACAGUCCUUUGCUUUUCCAUACAAGAGUAAGCUUAGGAAUGCUUUGCUUCAUUCUAGGUCAGGCUGCCUGCAGAUAGAGACCCUUUCCUCUGCUGUCUUAUUGCCAGUUACAUUAAAUACGGUAUAUGGCAAGAAUUUAUUAAUACUGUACCAUAGUCAACAUUUGUGUGAGCUCAUACAAUGGCCCCCAUGGAGAAAAAGAUUCCAUUGAGCCAAUAGAUAGCAGUGACUCAGUUAGUGAUAGUGAAAGUCUUCCUACAUAAUAACCCUCCUCUCUCUUGUCUCU